GGAUUUGUAAAGUCCGGAUGUAGAUGUUCUUAGAUGGACAUGGAGUAAUUGGUCCCGAGCACACAUGUGCCCGAUAUCUCCUCCGUUCGCUAAUGCAUGUGGAUGUGGGCCAAUAGUUUAUACGGUGCGUUAAGGGCAGCUCGUAAAAGCGGACUGCAGUGAAAUACGUAUGCGUCAGAGGCGGUUCGUGGGCCGGGCUAGCAGCGUGGGCGGACGGGUUUCUGGGCGGCCGUCGACCGCCGACGAGGUGAGCCGUGGAUCAGGUUCUCGAUUUCCGUCUGCUCCGUGGCUCAGAAAAGUCGCUGCUCCACGCAUUGAAUGCAAGGUGUGUCUGUUCUUCCCCAACGCGGCCGUCAUUUUGGAGAUUCAGAGGCAAGGAGGGGAGAGAGUGGAAGAACAGGCGACCGACAGGAUGGAUUUCCUCAUGCAAUCAGGAGAUCCAAUCGGAUUGAGGAGGUUGGGGGAGAGUCUAGUGCUGGAAGGGUUGCCGGCACAUGGCGCCAGGCGGACAGUGGUCAAGGUGACGCUGCAGGAGGCCACGGGCGUGAGCGCCAAAGGGCGGAUCUGCGGCGUGGCUGAAGCGGCGGCAGUGGCAAGGGGCAGCGGCAGUGACAAGGGGCAGCCCGCCUCUGACUUCCGAGCUGUCGACGGGGAAGAUGAAUCCUCAGGCUCCUCGUUGGAACAAGAGUUUGGUUGAAUUUCUGCUGGGAGUACUCUGUGACAUGAAUUAGCGUGCAAACUCACUGUUCUGAAUUGAAAUAAAUUCAACAUUGCUAUGAAGAUUUACGGUUGAGGAUUGGAGCUUCUGCCCCAAGCUUGACACCUUGCUCACCCCGCGUAAGCGCUUUUGAGAAGGCAGUUAGGGUCUUCGUAGAAAACCCAACUGAAGAUGAGCCGUGACUUGUAAUUUGGCGGUGGUAAUCUGGUUCGCGGACCAGGAAAUUCGCUCUCUGUUAGGUGGAUGGCUUGAAUCAUUCACUGCAGGCCGGUGGCUCCCCGACUGCGGUAUCCAAAUCCAUUUCCAGUCAGCGGGGUGCUGCAGCGCACAUGACUCCAUUCCAGCGAUGGAGUUCCUAAUGCAGCCAAUUAGAAGGUAUCCUAUUGUGGAGGAGGUGAGUGAGAGUGAGCAGGAGAUGAAUCUGCCAGCGAACAGGGCGGUGGCGACUUUCCCGAUAGUGGAUGAACCGUCGGCGGCCUAUCCACGCAGAUGUGUGAGUUACAGACUGCCGUGUUGGGAAGACGGAAGAGCCAGUCGCAGCAAUCUGAACUAUCAACUGGUAAGAUGAACCUGCAGGCGCUGUGAUGGUCUAAAAGGUGCGCGUGUGUAAGCUUAGAUUGGAUCUGAAUUUAUUGAGAAUGCUUGAAUGAAAUUGUAGUAGAAUGCAUAGAUCUAUCGAUGCAGUGACAUUCAUUCGGUAGCAUGAGAAAUUGUCUACAUGGCACUUUUAGAGCAUGUUUGUAUUAAUAAUUGACACACUGUACUAGUUGAAAUUAGCUCAUGAUUGAGCAAUUCUGAAGAAAAAGAAGUACAUGCCGUUCGGACAAUUUGUCAGUUUGAAAAACCAUAACCAGAGUGUGAUCUUAGCUGGCGUCCUGGUACACGAUGAGACCGUGUAGAGUUUUGAGUGGUUUUUUACUGAAUUCCUGAGGAUUAUGGGACCUGUAGCACCAAGGACAAUCCUAACAGGUAUGUUGAUUAAGGACAUUUCUUAAAAAGAGUACUCGAAGAUGGUGCUGGUAGUAUGAUGAUAUGAUUGUUUCUUGUUUUUGUUCAUGUGCAGACCAGAAUCGAGCUGCAGUUAACAGUGUGAUGCUUGUUGGUGUGCCGACGGCUGGGGCACAAGAGAACUACUUAUCCAGAUCGUGGCGAUGUGCCAAAUCAGCCUUGGAAGCCGACGAAGUGCAAAAAUUGUGGUGUGGUGGGGCACCAAAGGAAUAAUUUUACGAAAGCAAUGGACCUGAGGUUAGCUGGUGACGUGUGGUGGUGAGUGAAAAAUGCCAAACGAUUUCAGCAAGUUUGAAUGGUCAAAGUGUGACUUGUUUUCUGCAUUCGUGAUGUGUUUGUGCAACUGAGCACCUGCCCUGCGUGCAGGCAUGCUUUAUGUCUUGAGUUGUAAUACAAAUGUAUUCAGUGAUGCAUUAGUGGGUGCUGUGAAGUAUCUAGGGUUGAAAAAAAAUCCUUUUUCAGUUGGGUUUAUGGAAGGUGAACUGCUUAAUUAGAUGAAACCAUGCAAGUGGACUGACUUUUUAUAAUCAGUUGUUGUUUUGUAUGCUUGAGGGAAGUCUACAGCCGGGCAGAUGGAUAUAGUCGUCAGUGCGGGCGACGACGGCUCUAUGGUGACCUUGCAUGCAGUUUGUAGUGGAAUCUCUAAAAAGACUUACAAUUGGGAACGGAGGGAGUAGGUAGCAGCAGAUGAUGCAGAGGGGCACUGUCGAGCAAGCGUCAAAUGUGGCAAUGCAGAGUGAGGAUGCAAUAAAGUAUUGGACUGACGCUUCAGAAGGCGUGACACUUUCCACUGGACUAGGCGCCGGAAUAUGAUCCAGUCAACCUGGCGACUGUUGAUGUUGUUGGGGAGGGCUAAGGUGAUUAUGAUCCAGUAAUGAAUCGUGGAGAUGAGUCGAACAAAUUGUUUGGUGUCGGCGAUGGAUCCGUCAUCCGUUGCUGGAAAUGGGUGCGUUAUUCCGACGAGGAGUACGCAGAAGUGAGCAAUUCUGAACCAAAACGACGGCGGCUCGUUUAGGGAAGAACUAGGAUCAGUUUGCUGGCGUUGCGUCGGGUAAUGAUGUCAUUACCCGCCUAGUGCUAGUGGUGUGAUGUAAUCCAUGUACAAGUUUGUUGUGCUGUCAUAGUUAAUUAAGAUCCAUAAUCGUCAUAUCACAUUUGUCU